rnacentral:rRNA from 1 species
UCCGUAGGUGGAUAAUUAAGUCAGAGGUGAAAUCCUGCAGCUCAACUGUAGAAUUGCCUUUGAUACUGGUUAUCUUGAAUUAUUGUGAAGUAGUUAGAAUAUGUAGUGUAGCGGUGAAAUGCAUAGAUAUUACAUAGAAUACCAAUUGCGAAGGCAGAUUACUACAAUAUAUUGACACUGAUGGACGAAAGCGUGGGGAGCGAACAGGAUUAGAUACCCUGGUAGUCC